rnacentral:rRNA from 1 species
UCGGGUCCUAAGCUGAGGCCGACAGGCGUAGGCGAUGGAUAACAGGUUGAUAUUCCUGUACCACCUAUAAUCGUUUUAAUCGAUGGGGGGACGCAGUAGAAUAGGCGAAGCGUGCGAUUGGAUUGCACGUCUAAGCAGUAAGGCUGAGUAUUAGGCAAAUCCGGUACUCGUUAAGGCUGAGCUGUGAUGGGGAGAAGACAUUGUGUCUUCGAGUCGUUGAUUUCACACUGCCGAGAAAAGCCUCUAGAUAGAAAAUAGGUGCCCGUACCGCAAACCGACACAGGUAGUCAAGAUGAGAAUUCUAAGGUGAGCGAGCGAACUCUCGUUAAGGAACUCGGCAAAAUGACCCCGUAACUUCGGGAGAAGGGGUGCUCUUUAGGGUUAACGCCCAGAAGAGCCGCAGUGAAUAGGCCCAAGCGACUGUUUAUCAAAAACACAGGUCUCUGCUAAACCGUAAGGUGAUGUAUAGGGGCUGACGCCUGCCCGGUGCUGGAAGGUUAAGAGGAGUGGUUAGCUUCUGCGAAGCUACGAAUCGAAGCCCCAGUAAACGGCGGCCGUAACUAUAACGGUCCUAAGGUAGCGAAAUUCCUUGUCGGGUAAGUUCCGACCCGCACGAAAGGCGUAACGAUUUGGGCACUGUCUCAACGAGAGACUCGGUGAAAUCAUAGUACCUGUGAAGAUGCAGGUUACCCGCGACAGGACGGAAAGACCCCGUGGAGCUUUACUGUAGCCUGAUAUUGAAAUUCGGCACAGCUUGUACAGGAUAGGUAGGAGCCUUUGAAACGUGAGCGCUAGCUUACGUGGAGGCGCUGGUGGGAUACUACCCUAGCUGUGUUGGCUUUCUAACCCGCACCACUUAUCGUGGUGGGAGACAGUGUCAGGCGGGCAGUUUGACUGGGGCGGUCGCCUCCUAAAAGGUAACGGAGGCGCUCAAAGGUUCCCUCAGAAUGGUUGGAAAUCAUUCAUAGAGUGUAAAGGCAUAAGGGAGCUUGACUGCGAGACCUACAAGUCGAGCAGGGUCGAAAGACGGACUUAGUGAUCCGGUGGUUCCGCAUGGAAGGGCCAUCGCUCAACGGAUAAAAGCUACCCCGGGGAUAACAGGCUUAUCUCCCCCAAGAGUUCACAUCGACGGGGAGGUUUGGCACCUCGAUGUCGGCUCAUCGCAUCCUGGGGCUGUAGUCGGUCCCAAGGGUUGGGCUGUUCGCCCAUUAAAGCGGUACGCGAGCUGGGUUCAGAACGUCGUGAGACAGUUCGGUCCCUAUCCGUCGUGGGCGUAGGAAAUUUGAGAGGAGCUGUCCUUAGUACGAGAGGACCGGGAUGGACAUACCUCUGGUGUACCAGUUGUCGUGCCAACGGCAUAGCUGGGUAGCUAUGUGUGGACGGGAUAAGUGCUGAAAGCAUCUAAGCAUGAAGCCCCCCUCAAGAUGAGAUUUCCCAACUUCGGUUAUAAGAUCCCUCAAAGAUGAUGAGGUUAAUAGGUUCGAGGUGGAAGCAUGGUGACAUGUGGAGCUGACGAAUACUAAUCGAUCGAAGACUUAAUCAA